GAUGAACGCUAGCUACAGGCUUAACACAUGCAAGUCGAGGGGCAGCACAGUGUAGCAAUACAUGGGUGGCGACCGGCGCACGGGUGCGUAACGCGUAUCCAACCUUCCCGUUACUCAGGGAUAGCCUUCCGAAAGGGAGAUUAAUACCUGAUGGUAUUCAAAUUCCGCAUGUUAUUUGAAUUAAAGAUUUAUCGGUAACGGAUGGGGAUGCGUGACAUUAGGUAGAUGGCGGGGUAACGGCCCACCAUGCCUACGAUGUCUAGGGGUUCUGAGAGGAAGGUCCCCCACACUGGAACUGAGACACGGUCCAGACUCCUACGGGAGGCAGCAGUGAGGAAUAUUGGUCAAUGGUCGGAAGACUGAACCAGCCAAGUAGCGUGAAGGAUGAAGGUUCUAUGGAUUGUAAACUUCUUUUAUACGGGAAUAAAACCACCUACGUGUAGGUGCUUGUAUGUACCGUAUGAAUAAGCAUCGGCUAACUCCGUGCCAGCCGCCGCCGUAAGAC
rnacentral:rRNA from 1 species